CAGGGCUGAGGACAAGUCCCAUGGCGGCCUGCCAGGGCCCAAAGGCAGCCUGCGGGAGAGCUGCCGAGGGACUGAAACAGGGCAAGAGUUAAGGGAGUCAGUCUGGAAGAAGAUUUCAUUCCUUUGAGAAAGGAGCAGUGUUUCCCAUCUGAAUAAGCAUGUACAAGAUGUUUAAAAGGUGCUUCCAGCUGAGCAACAGUGAGCACUUCCCAUGAUGCACGUUUACCCUGCACCAGGCGAUGCUCCUAGAUGAGCUUGUUGCAGAAGAACAAAAAUUCCAGUGAAGCCAAUGAAUCCAUGCAGAUUCACUCCUGAAAAGGGCAUGCCAAGGCACCGUGGCUUAACCUUGCUCAGAUGGAUGGUGCCUAUUCUGUUGAAACUUGUGUCCUCCACCCCAGCCUUAAGAUUUGCCUGAAGUUGCUAUGGCUAAAAUUUAGGUUGGAAGUUCUUUGCUGAGCUUUCUUCUUUGGGAUUAACACAGCCUCAGUGAAGGAGCUGCACAGGCUUGCCGUGGCCACCACCUCCUCACCCACCUGCCAGUGGUAAUGAGGCCAUGGCCACUCCUCUCACAGCCUUUAGUGAGUGUCUGUCUGGUGUUGUUGUAAAGUGUUGAUGCUUCCCCUCAGAGCUAUAAAAUAGCAAAAUAUUUUUCCUACAGUUAAUAACA